rnacentral:ncRNA from 1 species
CAUCGCGAGGUGGAAUUUGAAAGAAGUCUGCGGCAAAUAUCUACCCCGGCAGACUGAAACCUAAUACUAAGGCUGUUUGCGAGGGUAAGGCGGCCAAAAACGUCAAAGCCCUAAAACUACUUGGAAUCGCAAGGAAUUAAUUAUGCGGGGAUAAGGUAGAAAGUUGA